AUAAUUAUUGACACUAUCUAAAAUUAACCAUUAUUUACAUCAAUCAAAGGUUCCUGUUAAUUGGAAAAAUAAUAAAAGAAAAAAAAAAGUUACUUAGCCCCCUCUCCCUCCGAAUUAAUCACCAUUGCCCUGCAAUAUCUCCAUUCCAAAUAUUAUAAGAACAAAAAAAAACACAGAUUAAUUAGCUGAAAGUAAUAAAAAAGUCCCUGAAAAAGGAUAAAAAAUAAAAAAAAUUAAAAUCCCAAUCAAUUGUUCCUAUCCUUACUCUCUCCUCCAACAUUAUUAUUCCUAAUUGAAGGAAUGAACUACCUUCCUUCUAUGGUGAACUGAAAAGCUGUACGUAUUCAACUUUGGGAGCGGGAGGAUGUUACGGCACUUGGGUAGAGUAGGAUGUAAGGUGUGGAUAAGUUGGGUAUUCUUGCUCUUGAUCAAAUCUCUCAUACACUCGUGUUGCUGCUGAUGAAUGGCUCCAGCCGUGAGAAGAACGACACUAGCUAUCCCAGCUGGGCUCAAAGAACAAGGAGCGGGCAGUGAGCGCCGGUGCGAUGAGGCCACUGGUAGAGCUUGUGGCAGAACAGAGGUCU
rnacentral:lncRNA from 1 species